rnacentral:rRNA from 1 species
UAGGGAAUCUUCCACAAUGGGCGCAAGCCUGAUGGAGCAACGCCGCGUGAGUGAGAAGGUCUUCGGAUCGUAAAACUCUGUUGUUAGAGAGAACAUGCGAGAGAGUAACUGUUCUUGUAUUGACGGUAUCUAACCAGAAAGCCACGGCUAACUACGUGCCAG